rnacentral:rRNA from 1 species
UACGUAGGGGGCUAGCGUUGUCCGGAAUCAUUGGGCGUAAAGCGCGUGUAGGCGGUCCGGUAAGUCCGCUGUGAAAGUCGGGGGCUCAACCCUCGGAUGCCGGUGGAUACUGUCGGGCUUGAGUACGGAAGAGGCGAGUGGAAUUCCUGGUGUAGCGGUGAAAUGCGCAGAUAUCGGGAGGAACACCCGUAGCGAAGGCGGCACUCUGGGCCGUGACUGACGCUGAGGAGCGAAAGCGUGGGGAGCAAACAGG